rnacentral:rRNA from 1 species
UAACGCGUGAGUAACCUGCCUUCAAGAGGGGGAUAACAUUCUGAAAAGAAUGCUAAUACCGCAUGACAUAUUGGAACCACAUGGUUUUGAUAUCAAAGAUUUUAUCGCUUGAAGAUGGACUCGCGUCCGAUUAGUUAGUUGGUGAGGUAACGGCUCACCAAGACCGCGAUCGGUAGCCGGACUGAGAGGUUGAACGGCCACAUUGGGACUGAGACACGGCCCAGACUCCUACGGGAGGCAGCAGUGGGGGAUAUUGCGCAAUGGGGGCAACCCUGACGCAGCAACGCCGCGUGAAGGAUGAAGGUUUUCGGAUUGUAAACUUCUUUUAUUAAGGACGAAAAUUGACGGUACUUAAUGAAUAAGCUCCGGCUAACUACGUGCCAGCAGCCGCGGUAAUACGUAGGGAGCAAGCGUUGUCCGGAUUUACUGGGUGUAAAGGGUGCGUAGGCGGCUUUGCAAGUCAGAUGUGAAAUCUAUGGGCUCAACCCAUAAACUGCAUUUGAAACUGUAGAGCUUGAGUGAAGUAGAGGCAGGCGGAAUUCCCCGUGUAGCGGUGAAAUGCGUAGAGAUGGGGAGGAACACCAGUGGCGAAGGCGGCCUGCUGGGCUUUAACUGACGCUGAGGCACGAAAGCGUGGGUAGCAAACAGGAUUAGAUACCCUGGUAGUCCACGCUGUAAACGAUGAUUACUAGGUGU